GGAAGGGGUUGGAGAUGACUGGAUUUUUGAUCACCAGGGUUGCUUCUGCUGAUCUGGCUGACGGGGUGGGGUCCCUUCCUCCCUCCCUGCUCUGCGUGUGCGUCCCUCCCAAAGCUGCGCACUUGGUAGAAGAGGACGACCUUCCCGGAAUAGAGAAGGACCUGUCUUCAGUCAAGAACAUACUAGUAGCUGUGUUCCCCUGCUAGGACCUGCAAACAAGCUGCCAAGUGCUGGGAUUGAAGGUGUGCGCCACCACCCCUGGCUGUGAAAUACACAUUUUAACUAGCC
rnacentral:snRNA from 1 species